UGUGGUUCUUGGGUGACGCACCUGGAACCAGAGAGGAGGGAGCCUGAUUCCGGGGUGCGUCACCUGAGAACUGCC
rfam:Myotis lucifugus cont2.44387, whole genome shotgun sequence.